rfam:Kiloniella sp. P1-1 contig2, whole genome shotgun sequence.
UCAGACGGUCCGACAGGCUGCUCUUUCUGGCAGGUUUCACCUGAACCGGAAAGGGAGGAAAGUCCGGGCUCCACGGGAAUACGGUGCCGGGUAACGCCCGGCGGGGGCGACCCUAGGGAAAGUGCCACAGAAAGCAAACCGCCUGUAGGUCCCAUUUCCUUAUGGAUUGUGACAAGCAGGUAAGGGUGAAAGGGUGUGGUAAGAGCACACCGCGCGGUCAGAAAUGGAAGCGGCAUGGUAAACCCCACCGGGAGCAAAACUAAAUAGGGUCGACAGGUUCACAAAACUUCGUUUUGAGGAAUCAGGUGUUUUUCCGCACCGUCGACCGGGUCAGUUGCGAGAGGUGUUCAGCAAUGAGCAUCCCAGAUGAAUAGCCUUCCGUUGUCACAGGCCUUGGCUUUGUGGCAAGCGACAAAACCCGGCUUAUGACCGUCUGACAUA